AACCUUAUGGACCUGCGGGCGUAUACCUGCGGAAGGAUCAUUACCGAGUGAGGGCCCUCCGGGUCCAACCUCCCACCCGUGUUUAACGAACCUUGUUGCUUCGGCGGGCCCGCCUCACGGCCGCCGGGGGGCACCCCGCCCCCGGGCCCGCGCCCGCCGAAGACACCUGUGAACGCUGUCUGAAGUUGCAGUCUGAGACACUAGCUCAAUCAGUUAAAACUUUCAACAACGGAUCUCAGA
rnacentral:misc_RNA from 1 species